rnacentral:rRNA from 1 species
GACGAACGCUGGCGGCGUGCCUAAUACAUGCAAGUAGAACGCUGAAGGAGGAGCUUGCUCUUCUGGAUGAGUUGCGAACGGGUGAGUAACGCGUAGGUAACCUGCCUGGUAGCGGGGGAUAACUAUUGGAAACGAUAGCUAAUACCGCAUAACAGUAGAUGUUGCAUGACAUUUACUUAAAAGGUGCAAUUGCAUCACUACCAGAUGGACCUGCGUUGUAUUAGCUAGUUGGUGGGGUAACGGCUCACCAAGGCGACGAUACAUAGCCGACCUGAGAGGGUGAUCGGCCACACUGGGACUGAGACACGGCCCAGACUCCUACGGGAGGCAGCAGUAGGGAAUCUUCGGCAAUGGACGGAAGUCUGACCGAGCAACGCCGCGUGAGUGAAGAAGGGUUUCGGAUCGUAAAGCUCUGUUGUAAGAGAAGAACGAGUGUGAGAGUGGAAAGUUCACACUGUGACGGUACCUUACCAGAAAGGGACGGCUAACUACGUG